UACGGAGGGUGCGAGCGUUGUUCGGAAUCACUGGGCGUAAAGGGCGUGUAGGCGGUCUGUUAAGUCUGAUGUGGAAGCCCGGGGCUCACCCCCGGAAGUGCAUUGGAUACUGGCGGACUCGAGUCCCGGAGAGGAGGGUAGAAUUCCUGGUGUAGCGGUGAAAUGCGUAGAUAUCAGGAGGAACACCGGUGGCGAAGGCGGCCCUCUGGACGGUGACUGACGCUGAGACGCGAAAGCGUGGGGAGCAAACAGG
rnacentral:rRNA from 1 species